rnacentral:rRNA from 1 species
UACGUAGGGUGCAAGCGUUGUCCGGAAUUAUUGGGCGUAAAGAGCUCGUAGGCGGCUUGUUACGUCGACUGUGAAAACCCGGGGCUCAACUCCGGGCCUGCAGUCGAUACGGGCUGGCUUGAGUGCGGUAGGGGAGACUGGAAUUCCUGGUGUAGCGGUGAAAUGCGCAGAUAUCAGGAGGAACACCGGUGGCGAAGGCGGGUCUCUGGGCCGCAACUGACGCUGAGGAGCGAAAGCGUGGGGAGCGAACAGG